GAUGAACGCUGGCGGCGUGCCUAACACAUGCAAGUCGAACGAAGCACCUUACCUGAUUCUUCGGAUGAAAGUUUGGUGACUGAGUGGCGGACGGGUGAGUAACGCGUGGGUAACCUGCCCUGUACAGGGGGAUAACAGCUGGAAACGGCUGCUAAUACCGCAUAAGCGCACGAGGAGACAUCUCCUUGUGUGAAAAACUCCGGUGGUACAGGAUGGGCCCGCGCCUGAUUAGCUGGUUGGCAGGGUAACGGCCUACCAAGGCAACGAUCAGUAGCCGGUCUGAGAGGAUGAACGGCCACAUUGGAACUGAGACACGGUCCAAACUCCUACGGGAGGCAGCAGUGGGGAAUAUUGCACAAUGGGGGAAACCCUGAUGCAGCAACGCCGCGUGAGUGAAGAAGUAUUUCGGUAUGUAAAGCUCUAUCAGCAGGGAAGAUAAUGACGGUACCUGACUAAGAAGCUCCGGCUAAAUACGUG
rnacentral:rRNA from 1 species